UUUAAAGUUUUAUAGUGUUAUCACGUAGCUGCGUUGACGUUAAAAACACGUGUGACGUAUGUACCAUAUUCAUCAUAAUUAGAAAUCCGCAUAGAAGAGAAAUGGGCUGUGUCAGAAAGUUAAUGCAAGUCGCCGUUGAAGAGUAAAAUCGUGUUUCCUUCAAAACAAUGGAGCUUCGCAUCGGCAAUUGAUAAUGACGCACAGGUUUUGUUUAAGUGAACUGCUUUAUAAUAUUACCACGUGUUGUUUCAGACAGUUUCACUGCUACAACUUGUAAGUUUCACUGUAGAGUAUAAUAUUUGAUAUUCUGGUUUUCAUGUUUUCUUCGUUUCAGCGUUGUAUACCGAUAUUUAACUGAUUGUCUCCAACUAUCUGAAGAUCUACCUCUAGUGAAAAUAAUCCACUAACUUGACGAGGAUAGUCAGAGAACGCUGUAUGAGAAUGAAAUUAUAGACUGAUACGUUCGUCGUAAAAAGGCUAUUUAAGAAAAGUCUUGAAUCAUGGUCCCUGCUAUGUGAAAUAUGAACUUAUUCAAAAGUAGUGUACGAUGCCAUAAAACACCACAAGAUUUUCUGUGGCAACACGACACCCAGGAACUUUCGGAAACAGAGCAUGUACAGUAUAAGUCAAAUAUUAUUUUGAACUUGUACAGCCCUCUGAGGAAGAACCUGUUGGUUCUAAACGCACGGUAGCGCUAUUUGUUCUCAAUAAAUAGGGUUAUUAACAGUGACGAGUUGCCUUCCAUUAGGGACGUGGGUGCACUCAAUGACUGUGAUAUGACUUUGAAAUGAUAGAGCACAGUAAUCAGUCGUCCUUUUCUUGCAGGUUUUAUUCGGCAAAUCUAGAUUUCGGCUAGUGCCUGGCCAUUAUCAACGCACCAUUUCAUAGUAUCAGUGCAUGUUCUAGUAGGUGAGUCUCGUGUUUUUCUGGCUUCUGUCACAGUUCUUUCAAGAGUUUGGCCUGCACAGAGUCCUGACCUGAAUCCUAUAGAACAUCUUUGGAAUGUUUUAGAACGUCGCCUUCGUGCCAGGCCUCACCGACCGACAUCUAUACCUCUCCUCAGUGCAGCACUCUGCGAAGAAUGGGCUGCCAUUCCCCAAGAAACCUUGCAGCACGAUUGAACGUAUACCUGCGAGAGUGGAAGCUGUCAUCAAGGCUAAGGCCGGGCCAACACCAUACUGAAUUCCAGCAUUACCGAUGGAGGGCGCCACGAACGUGUUAGUCAUUUUCAGCCUGGUGUCCGGAUACUUUUGAUCACAAAGUGU